UACGAGGGGGGCGAGCGUUGUUCGGAAUUAUUGGGCGUAAAGGGUGCGUAGGCGGUUUGGUAAGUCUUAUGUGAAAUCUACAGGCUCAACUUGUAGUCUGCAUGAGAAACUGCCGGGCUUGAGUAUGGGAGAGGGACGUGGAACUCCACGAGUAGCGGUGAAAUGCGUAGAGACGUGGAGGAACACCAGUGGCGAAGGCGGCGUCCUGGCCUAGAACUGACGCUGAGGCGCGAAAGCUAGGGGAGCAAACGGG
rnacentral:rRNA from 1 species